AUUGAACGCUGGCGGCAGGCCUAACACAUGCAAGUCGAACGAGUGGUGGACGGGUGAGUAAGGUCUGGGAAACUGCCCGAUGGAGGGGGAUAACUACUGGAAAGGUAGCUAAUACCGCAUACUAUUGGAGCGGCCGAUACCGGAGUAGCUAGUUGGGGGGGUAACGGCUCACCAAGGCGACGAUCCGUAGCUGGGUUGAGAGGACGACCGGCCACACUGGGAAUGAGACACGGCCCAGACUCCUACGGGAGGCAGCAGGGGGGAAUGUUUGACAAUGGGGGAAACCCUGAUCCAGCCAUCCCGCGUGUGCGAGGAAGGCCUGCGGGUUGUAAAGCACUGUUGGCAGGAAAGCGGUACCUGCAGAAUAAGCACCGGCUAACUACGUGCCAGCCGCCGCGGUAAUAC
rnacentral:rRNA from 1 species